CUCGGCCUCCAUCUGGCAGGGUUUAUCAGCACCUGCAAGGCUUCCCCGGGCCAGGUGCAGGCCGCGCGUCACAGCUCGCACUGCUGACGGAGAAGCAGACGCUGCAAGCUAUGAGGAAACACAUGUGUGGGGAAAAUGAACCCCGAAACAGCUGAUCCCCUGGUGGGCCGGGGUAGGCAAGCUUCGCCAUGUGGCUGUCACCUGCAGCUGCUGGCCUGGCCUGGCGUGUCCUGCACAGGGCUCCAUCUCAGUGCUCUUGACCUUCAGCCGUUUCCUAAACACACGGCGCAAGCUCUUGGUAGGGGCAGGGGCGUACAUGCAGCCAGGUUUGGGGGACAGACAGCCCACAGGGUCCAAGGGAAAGGAGUCUGCCAGGGGAGCCCAGGAGCCCAGGGUGGAGCAGCUGGAGGCAGGUGGACAGCAGAGGCUGGAACACCAGGGCAGGGCCUCUCAGGACUCGGGCCCCAUGGCAGGCCGUGUGCUGUGAUGUGGGGGGCCCGGGGCUUGGCUGUGCAGUCAGCCAGACCUGGUCCCCCUCCUCCCUUACACCUGGGCCAAUUACUGGACGUUCCUGAGCUGGUCCCUCGCUGCAAUUCAGGGAAACCGUACCUCACAGAGGCUGUGGGACACAAAGGGGCACUGGGUAGGACACCCAGCGGCACCCAGCUCAGAGCAGCCCUCCCAGGGCAUCCCCCCUCAGGCUGUCCCUCUUGCUACUGCCUCAGACUGGCCUUCAAGGUCCAGUUCAAAGUCACUUCCCUGUCCCUCAAACACACAGGGCCUCCUCCAAGGACACCCUGGGCAAGGAGGGGCUGGCCUCCACGGGGCCUGAGUCACCCCAGACUGGUCCUGUCUCCCCUUCCAGGUUGGUGCUGGAAUCCGAGCUAAUGAAUGACAUGUGAAUACGUGAAUGAUGGAUGAAUAAACGGGCCUGGCACAGGAGACCGUGUGCAUCUGUGGAGGCCGAUCUUCAAAUGCCUGUGAGGGGCAGCUGCCUGAGCCCGGAGCAGGAAGCAGAAAACAAGGGACACUGCACAACUGUUGACCUUCCCGGCCACUCCUGAGUGCCCCUGCAGUCCAGUCUCCAGGAACGCUCCUGAACCCCAGUUCCCUGCUUUCUUUUUAAUGAUCAGUUCAUUCUGUGGCUGACCUGGCAAACUCUCAGCUCCAACAUGCCCUCUCCUGCCCUGGCAAGAGCCCACCGUUGUCCCUGGAGCCUUGAGGUGUGGUGCACAUGCUCACUUUCCUUCCUGUCCUUCGCUGGUCUGCACACUCCCUGGAUGUAGGGGCCCUGUCUUCCUCUCUGCAGCAUCUAAUGUUGAGUGGGCUUGUGGAACUGAAGGGUCAAUGAGGUGACCGUCGUUUGCAAAGCAGAAGAUGCACCAUGAGGUCCAACACGGGGUAGACCCACGGGCUGAAUCCCAGGAAGA